UGUCGGGCAGGAUAGUGGUGCGGCGGCCGUCCACUCCACUCACUGCCAGACGAGGUCCCGCCUGAUGCAGCAGGGAUCUCUCCUCCGAGGGACUAAAACUCCGGGAGCAAGCCUCUCCUCAGCUCAGGCAGCCCGUACACUUCAAGGGUCGCAGUUAUUGGUAGGUUAUUUCUCCCAAAAUCUCGAUUUGCAAGCUUUGAGUCUUAUUUUGCAGGAGCUGAUCUUUCUUGCGACCGCUCAGCUCGGCG